AGAAAAAGGGGGAAUAACAAAGGGCAUAUCCAGUGCGUGAGGCUCCUGCCACUGCGGGUCUGGGAGGGUCAUAAUUGUAUGCAGCCAUACCCCUGCUUUGUGGAGAGACUGUUUCUCGACUUGAACCCGCAACC